rnacentral:ncRNA from 1 species
CAUGAUAGGGUUAAUAUGUUAAUAAUCACCUAACCUAGACCUUGAAUUUACACCCCUUAACCUUCUAAAUCAUCGACCCAUAACCCAUAACCCUUCUAAAGAUGCAAUGUGAUUUAUUCCUAUUGCUAUGCAUGUCAAAGUGAAGAAAUUCAACCAAGUGUGGGUAAACAACAAGAGUAACUAUGACUCUCUUAAGGUAGCCAUAUGCAUCGUCAUCUAAUUAGUGACAUGCAUGAAUUGAUCAUUAAUGAUAUUCCCCACUGUCCCUAGCUAUUAUAUUCUAGACAAACCACAUACAAGGAAAUGGGCUUGG